rnacentral:tRNA from 7 species
CGCGGGAUGGAGCAGUGGUAGCUCGUUGGGCUCAUAACCCAAAGGUCGGAGGUUCGAGUCCUCCUCCCGCCACCA